rnacentral:rRNA from 1 species
GUGGGGAAUAUUGCACAAUGGGCGAAAGCCUGAUGCAGCAACGCCGCGUGAACGAUGAAGGUCUUCGGAUCGUAAAGUUCUGUUGCAGGGGAAGAUAAUGACGGUACCCUGUGAGGAAGCCCCGGCUAACUACGUGCCAGCAGCCGCGGUAAUACGUAGGGGGCUAGCGUUAUCCGGAUUUACUGGGCGUAAAGGGUGCGUAGGUGGUCCAUCAAGUCGGUGGUUAAAGGCUACGGCUCAACCGUAGUAAGCCUCCGAAACUGUUGGACUUGAGUGCAGGAGAGGAAAGUGGAAUUCCCAGUGUAGCGGUGAAAUGCGUAGAUAUUGGGAGGAACACCAGUAGCGAAGGCGGCUUUCUGGACUGCAACUGACACUGAGGCACGAAAGCGUGGGUAGCAAACAGGAUUAGAAACCCUAGUAGUCC